CGCCACAGCCAAAUCACCCUGCAGCCCAAGACCGGUUACUCACUGAAGCUAAGCAGGGCUGAGCCUGGUCAGUACCUGGAUGAAAGACCACAUGGGAAAACUAGGUUGCUGUUGGAA
rnacentral:rRNA from 1 species